AAGAGUUGCAAACUCCCACAAACCAUCGCGAACGUUACCCAGACGUCGUUGCUUCGGCGGGCUCGCCCGCCGGGGGGACGCUACCAGACUCUUGCAGUUCUUCGGCCUCUCUGAGUAUGAUUUUUUAAAUAAGUCA
rnacentral:misc_RNA from 1 species